rnacentral:rRNA from 1 species
UCAGCUCGUGUCGUGAGAUGUUGGGUUAAGUCCCGCAACGAGCGCAACCCUCGCUUUGUGUUGCCAGCGGGUCGUGCCGGGUACUCGCAAGGGACCGCCGGGGUUAACUCGGAGGAAGGUGGGGAUGACGUCAGAUCAUCAUGCCCCUUACGUCCUGGGCUUCACGCAUGCUACAAUGGCCGGUACAGCGGGAUGCGAUGCCGUGAGGCGGAGCGGAUCCUGUAAAACCGGUCUCAGUUCGGAUCGGAGCCUGCAACUCGGCUCCGUGAAGGUGGAGUCGCUAGUAAUCGCGGAUCAGCAACGCCGCGGUGAAUGCGUUCCCGGGCCUUGUACACACGUCGACGCGGCCG